rnacentral:rRNA from 1 species
GACGAACGCUGGCGGCGUGCCUAACACAUGCAAGUCGAACGAGUGGCGAACGGGUGAGUAACGCGUAGGCAACCUGCCCUUUAGACGGGGACAACAUUCCGAAAGGAGUGCUAAUACCGGAUGCUAAAGGAUGGGCCUGCGUCUGAUUAGCUAGUUGGUAGUGUAACGGACUACCAAGGCGAUGAUCAGUAGCCGGUCUGAGAGGAUGAACGGCCACAUUGGGACUGAGACACGGCCCACACUCCUACGGGAGGCAGCAGUGGGGAAUCUUCCGCAAUGGACGAGAGUCUGACGGAGCAACGCCGCGUGAGUGAUGAAGGAUUUCGGUCUGUAAAGCUCUGUUGUUUAAGACGCGGUAGUAAACGAGGAAGCCACGGCUAACUACGUGCCAGCAGCCGCGGUAAUACGUAGGUGGCGAGCGUUGUCCGGAAUUAUUGGGCGUAAAGAGCAUGUAGGCGGCUUAAUAAGUCGAGCGUGAAAAUGCGGGGCUCAACCCCGUAUGGCGCUGGAAACUGUUAGGCUUGAGUGCAGGAGAGGAAAGGGGAAUUCCCAGUGUAGCGGUGAAAUGCGUAGAUAUUGGGAGGAACACCAGUGGCGAAGGCGCCUUUCUGGACUGUGUCUGACGCUGAGAUGCGAAAGCCAGGGUAGCGAACGGGAUUAGAUACGCCGGUAGUCCUGGCCGUAAACGAUGGGUACUAGGUGUAGGACUGUGCCGGAGUUAACGCAAUAAGUACCCCGCCUGGGGAGUACGGC